AUGAACGCUGACAGAAUGCUUAACACAUGCAAGUCUACUUGAAGCAACUUCGGUUGUGGAUGGUGGCGGACGGGUGAGUAACGCGUAAAGAACUUGCCCCCUAGUCUGGGACAACUGUUGGAAACGACAGCUAAUACUGGAUAUUAUGAGACCUUGGCAUCAAGGACUUAUGAAAGCUAUAUGCGCUAGGGGAGAGCUUUGCGUCCUAUUAGCUAGUUGGUGAGGUAAUGGCUCACCAAGGCGACGAUAGGUAGCCGGCCUGAGAGGGUGAACGGCCACAAGGGGACUGAGACACGGCCCUUACUCCUACGGGAGGCAGCAGUGGGGAAUAUUGGACAAUGGACCAAAAGUCUGAUCCAGCAAUUCUGUGUGCUUGAUGAAGGCCUUCGGGUUGUAAAGAGCUUUAAGUAGGGAAGAAGAAAGUGACGGUACCUACAGAAUAAGCGACGGCUAAAUACGU
rnacentral:rRNA from 1 species